UACGAAGGGGGCUAGCGUUGUUCGGAAUUACUGGGCGUAAAGCGCACGUAGGCGGAUACUUAAGUUAGGGGUGAAAUCCCGGGGCUCAACCCCGGAACUGCCUUUAAUACUGGGUAUCUCGAGUUCGAGAGAGGUGAGUGGAAUUCCGAGUGUAGAGGUGAAAUUCGUAGAUAUUCGGAGGAACACCAGUGGCGAAGGCGGCUCACUGGCUCGAUACUGACGCUGAGGUGCGAAAGCGUGGGGAGCAAACAGG
rnacentral:rRNA from 1 species